rnacentral:tRNA from 1 species
ACUAUUUUGACAGAAUAAAUGUGUUGAUUUUAGAAAUCAUUUAUAUAUAAUAUACUUAUUAAUUAUAUAGAUAGUA